rnacentral:rRNA from 1 species
GAUGAACGCUGGCGGCGUGCUUAACACAUGCAAGUCGAGCGGAAAGGUGCUGCGUUUGUGGGGCGGUCGUGUGGCGAGCGGGGGUGUGUCACGCGUGUAUCCUCUACUUGUCUUUGGGGUAUAUCUUGGAGACUCGGGAUCUUAUCGCAUAGGAUCUCUUGCUGCGCGUGGUUCAUUGGUGAAAUUCGGCGUUUCUGUAUGUUAUAGAUGGUUCCGCGCGGCAUGAUGUGGUUGGUAAGGUAACGGCUUAUCAAGGCAACGAUGCGUGGCCGACCUGAGAGGGUGAUCGGCCACACUGGAACUGAGACACGGUCCAGACUCCUACGGGAGGCAGCAGUAGGGAAUCUUACGCAAUGGGCGAAAGCCUGACGGAGCAACGCCGCGUGAGUGAUGAAGGUCUUCGGAGCGUAAAACUCUGUUAUUAGGGAAGAACAAAUGUGUAAGUAACUAUGCACGUCUUGACGGUACCUAAUCAGAAAGCCACGGCUAACUACGUG